rnacentral:rRNA from 1 species
UCCGGUUGAUCCCGCCAGAGGCCACUGCUAUCGGAAUUCGGCUAAGCCAUGCUUGUCAGAGAGCAAUCUCGGCGUAAGGCUGAGUAACAUGUGGGUAAUCUGCCCUUAGGUGGAGGAUAACCCCGGGAAACUGGGGAUAAUACUCCAUAGGCAAUUCGUGCUGGAACGCUGUUUUGCUUAAAGGCUUGCCGCCUAAGGAUGAGCCUGCAUCCUAUCAGGCUGUUGGUGAGGUAAUAGCUCACCAAACCUAUGACGGGUCGGGGCCAUGUGAGUGGGAGCCCCCAGAUGGGUACUGAGACAAGGACCCAGGUCCUACGGGGCGCAGCAGGCGCGAAAACUUCGCAAUGCCCGAAAGGGUGACGGGGGAAUUCCGAGUGCUAUCCACUGUGGAUAGCUUUUAGCAAUUGUAAACAGAUUGCAGAAUAAGGGCUGGGUAAGGCUGGUGCCAGCCGCCGCGGUAACACCAGCGGCCCGAGUGGUGGUCGGUAUUAUUGGGCCUAAAGCGUCCGUAGCCGGACAUUCAAGUUCCCGGGUAAAUCCAGCGGCUUAACCGUUGGAAUUCCGGGGAUACUGUAUGUCUUGAGGUCGGGGGACGGUAUGGGUACUCCUGGUGUAGGGGUGAAAUCUUCUGAUCCCAGGGGGACCACCUGUGGUGAAAACGCAUACCGAAAACGAGCCUGACGGUGAGGGACGAAGCCUGAGGGAGCGAACGGGAUUAGAUACCCCGGUAGUCUCAGGUGUAAACAAUGUCCGUUUGGUGUUGCAUACACUACGGGUGUGUGCAGUGCCGAAGCGAAGGCGUUAAACGGACCGCCUGGGGAGUAUGACCGCAAGGUUGAAACUUAAAGGAAUUGACGGGGGAGCACCACAAGGGGUGGAUGCUGCGGUUUAAAUGGAUUCAACGCCGG